AGUGAACGCUGGCGGUAGGCCUAACACAUGCAAGUCGAACGGCAGCACAGUAAGAGCUUGCUCUUACGGGUGGCGAGUGGCGGACGGGUGCGGAAUACAUCGGAAUCUACUUUUUCUUGGGGGAUAACGCAGGGACACUUACGCCAAUACCGCAUACGACCUACGGGUGAAAGCAUGGGAUCUUCGGACCUUGCGCGAUUGAAUGAGCCGAUGUCGGAUUAGCUAGUUGGCGGGGUAAAGGCCCACCAAGGCGACGAUCCGUAGCUGGUCUGAGAGGAUGAUCAGCCACACUGGAACUGAGACACGGUCCAGACUCCUACGGGAGGCAGCAGUGGGGAAUAUUGGACAAUGGGCGCAAGCCUGAUCCAGCCAUACCGCGUGGGUGAAGAAGGCCUUCGGGUUGUAAAGCCCUUUUGUUGGGAAAGAAAAGCAGCAGGUUAAUACCCCGCUGUUCUGACGGUACCCAAAGAAUAAGCACCGGCUAACUUCGUG
rnacentral:rRNA from 1 species